AACGAACGCUGGCGGCAUGCCUAACACAUGCAAGUCGACCGAGAUGUUCGGGUCUCGUGGCGCACGGGUGCGUAACGCGUGGGAAUCUGCCCUUUGGUUCGGAAUAACAGUUGGAAACGACUGCUAAUACCGGAUGAUGACGAAAGUCCAAAGAUUUAUCGCCAGAGGAUGAGCCCGCGUAGGAUUAGCUAGUUGGUGUGGUAAAGGCGCACCAAGGCAACGAUCCUUAGCUGGUCUGAGAGGAUGAUCAGCCACCCUGGGUCUGAGACACGGCCCAGACUCCUACGGGAGGCAGCAGUGGGGGAUAUUGGACAAUGGGCGAAAGCCUGAUCCAGCAAUGCCGCGUGAGUGAUGAAGGCCUUAGGGUUGUAAAGCUCUUUUACCCGGGAUGAUAAUGACAGUACCGGGAGAAUAAGCUCCGGCUAACUCCGUGCCAGCCGCCGCGGUAA
rnacentral:rRNA from 1 species